rnacentral:tRNA from 1 species
UCUAAUAUGGCAGAAAAGUGCACUGGAUUUAAACCCCAAAUAUAAAGUUAAAUUUAACUUUUUUUAGAA